AAACGAGAAAUGAAUCUUCAUAUAUGGUUUCGACCCAUAAUUAGGUAUGUAUAUACCCUUGUUU
rnacentral:tRNA from 1 species